CUUCUGAUUGGUUGAUAGGGCCUUGUCCUGAUUGGUUGGAAGGGCCUCGUUCUGAUUGGUCGAUAUGGCCGGUUCGUCAGGCCGCUCAUUGGUGCUUUUUGGAGCCAGGGUCCUCCGGUUUAAGUCCCGCUGGUGCUCCGGGCGGCGUCCUGUCCGCAGCCUGGUUCUGCUCCGUCGGAGUUGCGGUUUUCCAGUAACAGCCACCAGAAAGUGCUCCAGGUGCUGUGCAGGGGCCCUGGAGAGAGCUGGAAACUCUGCAGUCUUCCUGGCCCUCCCAGCAAGCCCAGCCCUGCCUGGCUCCAGAUCGGUCAUGCCUGGAUGGGCUUAAAGAGCCGCAACCCAUUCUGAUGGAGAAGUUAUAAACUUCAUUCUGCAAGCUUGGAUAAGAUACAGGUAAGACUGUUUACCUUUCUGUAACAAUGUAAU
rnacentral:lncRNA from 1 species